rnacentral:rRNA from 1 species
UACGUAUGGAGCAAGCGUUAUCCGGAUUUACUGGGUGUAAAGGGUGCGUAGGUGGCAGUGCAAGUCAGAUGUGAAAGGUCGGGGCUCAACCCCGGAGCUGCAUUUGAAACUGCUCGGCUAGAGUACAGGAGAGGCAGGCGGAAUUCCUAGUGUAGCGGUGAAAUGCGUAGAUAUUAGGAGGAACACCAGUGGCGAAGGCGGCCUGCUAGACUGUUACUGACACUGAGGCACGAAAGCGUGGGGAGCAAACAGG